rnacentral:lncRNA from 1 species
GAGUUUCCCUUUCUCACCUAUCCUUUCCCUUCCGCUUCUACCCUGCUAUAUCCUUCGUCUCAAAUGAAUUCCAAAAUCUUACUAGAGUCAAAAGGGAUCUUUUUCCAUCUUGUUUUUCCUCAUCUCCUUUUAGAUAGGAGGCGGGCUACCCUUUGGUACAAGUCCAGUAAUAAACAUAAGCCGCCCAUUCUUGGUAUCCAUUUUAUCGUGGGUAUCCAUCUUUUACGGU